rnacentral:rRNA from 1 species
CAGUAGCCACGGUAAUACGAACCGUGCGAACGUUAUUCGGAAUUACUGGGCUUAAAGCGCGUGUAGGUGGGAAGGUACGUCUGUCGCUGAAAUCCCCCGGCUCAACCGGGGAACGGGCGUGGAUACGGCCAUCCUUGAGGAGCGUAGGGGGACCUGGAACUUCCGGCGGAGCGGUGAAAUGCGUUGAGAUCGGAAGGAACGCCCGUGGCGAAAGCGAGGUCCUGGACGUUUUCUGACACUGAGACGCGAAAGCCAGGGGAGCGAACGGGAUUAGAUACCCCUGUAGUCCCUGUCUCUUAUU